UACGGGGGGGGUAAGCGUUGUUCGGAAUUACUGGGCGUAAAGGGCUCGUAGGCGGCCUUCUAAGUCGAACGUGAAAUCCCUAGCUCAACCUAGGAACUGCGUCCGAUACUGGGAGGCUUGAAUCCGGGAGAGGGAUGCGGAAUUCCAGGUGUAGCGGUGAAAUGCGUAGAUAUCUGGAGGAACACCGGUGGCGAAGGCGGCAUCCUGGACCGGUAUUGACGCUGAGGCGCGAAAGCCAGGGGAGCAAACGGG
rnacentral:rRNA from 1 species